UUCCAGAAGUCAGCUGGCUGGCAUUCCUGCUCCGUACUACAUCGCGGCACAUGUGCCUCUGCUUGUCUGUGUUUACGGGCAAGGAGCCCAAGGGAGGACGGAUGGCGUAGAGACUGAAGGAGUCACAACGGCUUUGAAAGUAAGAGGCAUGGGUACCAAGGCCCUGGGGCAUCCUGACUCGCCUCAGCAGGGCUACCUUCGGAGGAUGAGACGUUCCUCCUCCAAGCAGCACAGGGCAGUCCCUAGGUCAGGGACAACACAGGCCUGCAUCUCUCCGCGGUUGGUCUACAAGCAAGACUGAGUUGAACGCCACCAUUCCCAGCCUCCUUCCAACUGGUCCUGGCACAAGUGUGACGAGAUCUCAUCGAGAAGCUGGUUCUUCAUGAUCACCCCUGACCCAUCUUUGUGAAGCCCUCUCCCCACCUUCCCAUCUCCCCCAUGACUGUGAUCUGGGAGAAGAGGGUUUCAGCCUUUGUCCGCAGAGACUUCUUGUCUCCACUCAGAAAUGCCGCCUCAAGGACCCAGGAGCUGAAUCUCUGAAAAGUGAUCGUGGAGAAAGAUCCGCCUCACCUCCUCCCGGGGUCUCGGGGAGACAGGGGCCUGACUCGUCCCCGGGCUCCAGGCGGCAAAUGCGACCCGACAGGAGUGGCCCCAUCUGUGGCUACACAGAGGAGAGAUUUCUGUCUUCGCAGGGGGGCUGAAUGUUUAUUCAAUAAUAAAAUGAAUUUCUGUCUCUUCUGCCUCUGUGAUGAGGCUGUCUCGGUUGGGAGGAGAGUUUGCUUUUCAUUGCAUUUCCCCACCCGGGGCUUUGCCGUGUACCCAGCGGUCCCGGCAGUCAGCAAGGAAGGUUGUCCAAGGCCCGCUGGCCUGGCCGCUCUGAGCCCGGUCAGCCGGCCAGAGCCCCUGGGCACGCUGCUGGCUGCUGGUUCUCUGAGACACGAGCGCAGAAAUUGAGA